rnacentral:rRNA from 1 species
GAUGAACGCUGGCGGCGUGCCUAAUACAUGCAAGUCGAGCGAACAGAUAAGGAGCUUGCUCCUUUGACGUUAGCGGCGGACGGGUGAGUAACACGUGGGUAACCUACCUAUAAGACUGGGAUAACUUCGGGAAACCGGAGCUAAUACCGGAUAAUAUUUCGAACCGCAUGGUUCGAUAGUGAAAGAUGGUUUUGCUAUCACUUAUAGAUGGACCCGCGCCGUAUUAGCUAGUUGGUAAGGUAACGGCUUACCAAGGCGACGAUACGUAGCCGACCUGAGAGGGUGAUCGGCCACACUGGAACUGAGACACGGUCCAGACUCCUACGGGAGGCAGCAGUAGGGAAUCUUCCGCAAUGGGCGAAAGCCUGACGGAGCAACGCCGCGUGAGUGAUGAAGGUCUUCGGAUCGUAAAACUCUGUUAUUAGGGAAGAACAUACGUGUAAGUAACUGUGCACGUAUUGACGGUACCUAAUCAGAAAGCCACGGCUAACUACGUG